UCGAGGGGUGUUUUCUGAAGGCUCCGGAGGCUGUCCGUUUGACAUUGACAUAAGAUUUACACAUGAACUGAAAUGCUGACAUCACAUUCACCUUCAAUUCUCUUGGCACCUACAGUAAAUGGAUGAACUUCAUUACUUCAAACUUUCCGCAUGCUGUUGCUGAAGGAAUAUUGACAUUCAUUACAGGUAAAUUGGGCCAAAACAUUUUACCAGGAAAGAGUUUUGGGAAAAUUAUCAGGCAUGAUCCUAAACAACACCACAAUCCAAACUGGCCUGUCGGAGGACAUUAGAAUUGCUCUUCUUGUUUUAUAUAUAUUCAUCUUUCUCGCUGGGACACUGAAUGUUGUACUAAUGUCCUGUAUGCUACAGUCCCAAAGAUGUCUCUCUUUCACCAAAGUGUCUGUGAUCAACCUGAUAGCAGUGCACUCUUUUUUCCUUCUCACGGUGCCCUUUCGCAUUUACUAUUAUGCUUCUGAUGGAUUCUGGAUUCUGGGCAUACAUUUCUGCAAAAUUGUCAGUGUUAUGAUCCAUGCCCACAUGUAUCUUUCAUUCAUUUUCUAUGCCUUCCUUCUAAUUGUGCGCUAUGUGGAGCACUCUGUUCGGCAGCACAAGCUAGAGUUUCAUCGCAUUCUUCAUGCUACAAUUGCAAGUGCAGCCGUCUGGUUGGUCAUAUUCGGCUCUAUGUUCCCAGCAACUAUUGCUAAAUAUGGAAAGACACAGAAUGACUCAACUCAUUGCUUUCAUUUCGGUAAGGCUCUCAUGGAUCCUACUGUGAAGACAUUAAACUAUGUCAUUUGUAUACUAGUAAUACUGGUUUGGAGUGUGCUGGCAUUUUUCCAAGUUUAUUUUCUGCUCAAAGUGAGUAAGACAUUUGGAAAGGCCACUUGUCAACGUCAAGAGUUCUGGGCACAACUGAAGAACGUUGUUUUCCUGUUGGUCAUGUUUUUGUUUUUUUUGCCCUAUCAAGGAUUCAGAGUAUAUUAUGUGAGUGAAUAUGGCAAGACUGAAGAAAUGAAUUACAUAAAUGAAGUAUUACUUGCUUUCACUGCUUUCAGCUGUAUUGAUAUGAUUGUUUUUGCUGGUAGAGAUGUAUUCAAACUUAUAAAUUCAAGGGGAUGGUUUUCCUGUUCAUAGAAAAUAUGUUGUAUAUUGUAUGCACAAUAUUAUCACAUGAGCCAUGUAUCGUGAUUUUAUUGUAUCCUUAGGUACCCUGCAAUUCCCACCUCUAAAUGU